rnacentral:ncRNA from 1 species
GUAAUGGGCUCCUUAAAAUAGGUAGGGUUUAAUCGGGGGACCCCACAACAUAGUUGUGGGGGCCCUAUUAUAUUUUAGAGGCAAAUGGGGAAAAUUACAAGGACAUUUAAUAAAUUACCUCCGUUUUAUUAGAUUAUUUGUAGCGAAACUUAAUUCGGUAUAUAAAAAAUGGAUUAAGAACGUUCAACGACUAAUGAGUGAGUUAUACCAACAAUAAGCUCAACACGAUACCCCCAAAAUCUUCAUAUUAUUAAGAAGGUUUAAGAUAUAGUCUAAAUAUACCCUUAAGGGUGUA